rnacentral:lncRNA from 1 species
CCCAGGAAAACUGGAAAGAAGUGUGGUUCAGAAUUUUACCAGUAGAAGUGCUACACUGUGAUCUUGGUUAAACACCAGAUUAUUCUUGGGCCUCUGAAACAAAACAGAAAAAAAAAAAUUGUUGUAUUAAAGGUAAUUACGUUAUUGUAAUCUUCAUCAUGAUCAAAUGGUUCUGACAGCCAGAGCCCACCACCGGCUCUGCCCCUCGUGCUGAGCCUUGGUGCUUGGACCUCACGAGGCUCAAAUCCUGCGUGUGUUCCAGGCCACUUUCAUUUUGCCAGUUUCUGGGCUUGCAUACCAGAUGACCAUGAGCAUCUCAGAAUGGUGCAGAGUGCGGGGGAGAGCUGCCGUCCGUGCUAGAGAGGCCUGUUCCAGCCCCACCGCCAGGCGGUGUGUCGUUGGAUUACCCACAGUCGCGUCUUCUGCAACAUUUUCCUGCAGUCCUUUUUGCUCUGAACCCGCCCCACUGAGCUCCCUCGCACACUGUUGAGCCUGAUACUCUGUGAGCAGACCUGACCAGGGCACCGAGAUGGGGUGGUUUGAAGGCACCUCCUAGGCAGCAUGCCACGUAUAGCCUGCUGGAGAGUGGCGUCAGACUUGACACACGCAGCUGGUGCCAGCUGGGGUGCUGGGCGCCAAGGCAGCAAGGGUGGUACAGCCAGAGGAGCUCCCAGGCCACAGCCAUAGCGCUUUCGAAUUGGGAAAGCUACUGGCUGGGUACAUUUCAGGGGAGAUGGGGGGAGGAGUAUUUGCUUUUGAGAAAUUUUUUAACUUUCCCUUAAAACUUAGAAGGCUUUGGAAUUGGAAUACCAAAAAUGCAGU